ACUCCCGCAGACUGUUGCCCCUCCCCCGGGCCAAACGCUAGGCGGGAACCAACACGGUCAGGCGCGCAGCAGGAUCUGUGGCGCUUUUGGUCCAGGUGCUUCCGGCUCCCACCGGACGGAGGCCGGCUCGGUCGUGGACUCGCUCUCCCACGGAAGUGUGCUUUAGCGCACCGGAAGCCACCUCAGGGGGUGAGCCAUGGCGGGUUUGCCUGUUAGAGACCCUGCGGUGGAUCGUUCUCUGCGUUCUGUAUUCGUGGGGAACAUUCCUUAUGAAGCUACUGAAGAACAACUGAAGGACAUCUUCUCUGAGGUUGGGCCUGUUGUUAGUUUCAGAUUGGUAUACGAUAGGGAGACAGGAAAACCAAAGGGUUAUGGCUUCUGCGAAUACCAAGACCAAGAGACAGCACUUAGUGCCAUGCGGAACUUGAAUGGGCGUGAAUUCAGUGGGAGAGCACUUCGAGUGGACAAUGCUGCCAGUGAAAAGAACAAAGAGGAACUGAAGAGCCUUGGCACUGGUGCACCUGUCAUAGAGUCACCUUAUGGAGAAAGCAUCAGCCCUGAGGAUGCCCCUGAAUCCAUUAGCAAAGCUGUUGCCAGUCUUCCGCCAGAACAGAUGUUUGAACUGAUGAAACAAAUGAAGCUCUGUGUCCAGAAUAGUCCCCAGGAAGCACGAAACAUGUUGCUUCAGAACCCACAGCUGGCUUAUGCUUUGCUGCAAGCACAGGUAGUGAUGAGAAUUGUGGAUCCUGAGAUUGCCCUGAAAAUUCUGCACCGCCAGACAAAUAUCCCAACGCUGAUUUCAGGCAACCCUCAGCCAGUCCAUGUUGCCGGACCUGGCUCAGGACCCAAUGUUUCAAUGAACCAGCAGAAUCCUCAGGCCCCUCAGGCUCAAUCUUUGAGUGGAAUGCAUGUCAAUGGCGCACCUCCUAUGAUGCAAGCUUCUAUGCCAGGUGGAGUUCCAGCACCAGUGCAGAUGGCAGCUGCUGUAGCAGGACCUGGCCCUGGUUCCUUAGCCCCUGCAGGAGUCAUGCAAGCCCAAGUUGGAAUGCAAGGAGCUGGACCAGUGCCCAUGGAACGAGGACAAGGAACCUUACAGCACUCGCCCGUGGGACCCGCCGGGCCUGCAUCAAUUGAGCGAGUUCAAGGGCAGAGAACAUGGAUGAUAUGGGCAUCUGUCCGAGGCUCUACUCCCUCCCUACUGGUGUCAGGAGGCUUGGAUGGAAUUGCAGUCUUGCCAAUGCAAGACCCCAGAGCAGCUAUGCAGCGGGGAGCCUUGCCUGCCAACGUCCCAACUCCUCGUGGUCUUUUAGGUGAUGCUCCCAAUGAUCCACGGGGAGGCACUUUAAUGACCGUAACUGGAGAAGUAGAACCUAGAGCUUACCUGGGACCACCACCACCACCUCAUCAGGGCCCACCGAUGCACCACGUUCCUGGCCAUGAAGGUCGUGGACCACCACCGCAUGACAUGAGAGGAGGACCGUUAGCUGAGCCCAGACCGUUAAUGGCAGAGCCAAGAGGACCUAUGCUAGAUCAGAGGGGUCCACCGUUGGAUGCCAGAGGUGGAAGAGAUCCCCGAGGAUUAGAUGCACGAGGGAUGGAGGCCAGAGCCAUGGAAGCCAGAGGACUGGAAGCCCGUGCCAUGGAAGCCCGUGCCAUGGAAGCCCGUGCCAUGGAAGCUCGUGCCAUGGAGGCCCGAGCCAUGGAGGCUCGUGCCAUGGAGGCCAGAGGCAUGGAUACCAGAGGCCCAGUACCUGGACCUAGAGGACCUAUACCUAGUGGAAUCCAAGGCCCCAAUCCAAUGAACAUGGGGGCAGUUGUUCCCCAGGGAUCCAGACAGGUCCCAGUCAUGCAGGGAGCAGGCAUGCAAGGAGCAAGCAUGCAAGGUGGAAGCCAGCCUGGUGGCUUUAGUCCUGGACAGAGCCAAGUCACACCCCAGGAUCAUGAGAAGGUAAGCAACACUAUCUGACUGCCUCCCUGCGCACAAAUCUAGUCUUUUUGAUCUUUUCACAGUUACCAUGAAGAUCCUGGAUCUUCAAAAUCCCUUUGGAGACUCAUCUAAAAAUUGCAGUUUUUUUUCUGUGUAAGCCAAACUGACCUGAAAAUCCAAGCUCCUUUCUGCCCCUCCCCUGCCAUUUGUACCCAGUCCCUACAGAAACAGUAGCGGAUUGACCACAAGUAUAUCUUUCUGUUGCUAUACUUGGCUGUUGUUGUGAGCUUGUGUCUGGUGGAAAAGCUUAAAGUUGUGAAAUAGGGAAACUCAAAUCAGGACUCAGAACAUCCCAAGGCUCGCAGUACCAUCUUAAUGUGCAGGAACCUUGAGUUCCUCAGGUGUCUGUUUGCAUCAUCUAAUCUUAGAUGUUUUCAUUUAUUCCUGUGCUUUUCACUGUGCUUACCAGAUUUUCUUUCUUUUGGCCUGUAGUUUGUUUUGUGUGUAAAAGUGUGAAAUAUCCUCCCUUUUUUCAUCUUGCUUCAUAUCCCAUGACAGUAGCCUUUUAGCUAGAAGCUGGUGAUGUUUCUGUUUUAUUUGUUUUUCUGACUUGUCCUUGAAAUUCACAGCUUUCCUUUCCUCUGCACAGGCUGCUUUGAUUAUGCAGGUCCUUCAACUCACUGCAGACCAGAUUGCCAUGCUGCCUCCUGAGCAAAGACAGAGCAUCCUAAUCUUAAAGGAACAGAUACAGAAAUCCACCGGGGCACCUUGAAAGGUUCUCAAAAAUACCUGGCAACAAAUCUGGAAAUGUAAUUCCAUAACAUUGUUGAAAUGUUGAAAACAUAGUGACUUCUGCAUCUAACCCCCCUGGAUGACUCAGAUUGGUACCAGGUGGAGGACCUGCAUCACCAUUUCUCCAAAGGAAAACAGUUCAUUCUGAUGUCGUAGUUUGUAUAUUUUCUGUGAUGUUAAAUAAACAUUGAACAUAAGUUUAACAUAUUACAAAUUGAAAUACAUAAUCCUUUUGCUGUUAAGAAGCUAACACCAAGGAUAAAAGCUUAGCUGUGAUUUCUGACCUUACUGCAGUGUCAUUCUUUAAUCUUACAUUGCCGUAGCUCUAUUCUUACUUUAGCAUAAACAUUUAUUCUUCUUAAUGAUACUUGAGAAUUUCUCAGAAACAAUGUUUUUAGGAACUUUGUUUUUUGUUGAAUUUGCUUUCAGCAAGGUAAUAAGACUUUGGCCCUUGAAAACUUUCCAGUCUUAGAGUUUUCUGGGAGAAAAAAAGCAUGUGGUUAGAACUACAAACAAUUAGAAGACCAACAAGCGAAGAGCAUACCACAGGGGUGUGUUUGGUUUAAGGAAUGCCAAUUCUCAAACUGUGGUUUUAGUCAGUUGCAGGUCUGGACAUACAUAAGACAAAGAUUGUUUUGGCACUGGUUUGAAUGUGAAUCAACAACCUAAGACUGUUGUAAAGCUCUUCUGUCUAUGUAUCAACUUUACAAGGUUUUCUACAUGUUCAAAUUUAAUAAAGAAAACCAAGUGAACAAACUAUAUUCCAUUCUUUCAGAAAAUUGCAAAGCUUUCAGCCCUAUCAUCUUCUCUAAAUCCAUUCCAAAAACUCCCAACAGAAAACCCUAAAACUUUUACAUUUUCAAGUCUUUUAAGAGGACCAAGUACAGGAUGGCAAAUUGCCCAUUAUGGUUGCCUGCUACUUUCAAAGUACUACCUACUUGAAAGGUAAUUAGUGCCAUUAGCCUGUGCUAACUUGCAGGUUGUCUUGCCUUUUGUUCUCCCGUAGUGGCAUUAAGGAGGAACAUGGUUUCUCUCUACCAGGUCCACCUCAAGACAUUUGAAGAGUUGCCGUAAUAAUUAGUGAAGCUCACUAGCACUAAUUGUGAGCUCGUUUGUAUUCCCAGAGCCCUACUCUGCAUUAGGAUUAUGGGCACGUGAACUAAAAUCACUACUUACGGCAUAAAAAGCAUAAUCAUGCCAAGGAAAAGAAAGCAAAGCUAUUAAAAUGGAGGGAUUCUUCUCCAGACAUUGAUAAUGAAAAUUUGCUGGAUAUGUCAUACUAUAAGCUAUGAAGAAAAGCGCAGAACAACAAGCACUCCUACCUGUUCCACUCAUCCCCAGUUCAAUCGGGUGUUAAUUAUGCAUGCAGUUCAUUGUUUUCAUUACCUUCUGUGCCUCCUGCAUAAGCAGUCCUUGAUGUGUUGGUUUUGACAGCUGUUAGACUUAAAAGCACCAAUGUAUUUAGAUGCAGAGACAAAGAGGAAAAUAUUUCUAGUUGGGAGCUUGGGUUUUACACAACCAAUUCCAAAUCAAGAUAAGUAAUGCUGAAGUUAUUUGGAAAACAGUUGUCUAACAGAAACUAUAUCCUGAGAAUCCAGCAGUUUCCCAAAGCCUUCUUAAACUUAAUUUGGUUAGUAGACCUCAGGUGAAUAAGUUGACAAGAGCGGUGGCAUCCCAGUUCAUCAUUAUGGAAACACUCAUCAGUGGUUUGUUUGUUUGUUUGUUUGUUUGUUUGCUGUUAUUUUUACUGUUGUAAUAAUUCAAUUAGCUACUCCACGUUUAUGAUCUGCCUUUAUAUGUUCAGACUAAUGACUGACAAGUGAUCCCACUGAUCCUUCAAGCUAUAGGUACUUAGAUAAAUUACGAAAACAAAGUUGUUCACUCUUGAUCUAUGGUACAAAUUAGAUGGUCCAGUGCUAUCUAUAGAUUCAUUCUGUUAAAUGUAUGAGGUCCAUUGCCUGAGUACAAUGAAGUGUGGGGGUUUUUUUCUUCCUCAAGGAGCCUGCACCUUUUCUUGAAAUCCAUCAUAACUAACAUCCCAGAGCCAGUGUGGUUAUUGUCCUGGUGGAUAGGAAAAAUGAACAUGUUUGUAGGAAAAAGAAUGACAUCUUAGUGGAUGAUUCCUCAUUGAGUAAGACCUGGAAAACAGUCAAAAUUAUAACUUUUUAUUUUCUUUUUAUAACACAUUCAUAAACAAAACUCUUUAACAACAACAACAAAAAAUGGAAAGAGCUUCUGUUAAAUUACCCCACGAUGUAGGUCAGGCCUUUCCAGUUAUUUCAAACAAUACAAACUGGCAAUAUAGUUGGCUUCUAACUAUAAUACAAAUUUGAUUCCAGUUAAUAUACUUAAGAUAUUACUAGGGAAAGUCAGCAAAAUUGUUCAAUAAGCAAAGAUGAAGAUUAUUUUGGCACAGUAAAGUAUAAAUUGUUGGUCACACUGGAUGAUAAGCUCAUGUAUAACGAUGUACUUAGUGGGUAUGAUAUGGGAGUGGGAAUCUUGGUAAUUUUAUGUUUAUUAUUUAUGAUUAUUGUUUUGUCGUGGAUUCAAUAAAUAUUUUAAAAUCA